rnacentral:misc_RNA from 1 species
GAUGAAGAACGUAGCAAAAUGCGAUAAGUAAUGUGAAUUGCAGAAUUCAGUGAAUCAUCGAAUCUUUGAACGCACAUUGCGCCCGCCAGUAUUCUGGCGGGCAUGCCUGUUCGAGCGUCAUUUCAACCCUCAAGCACAGCUUGGUGUUGGGACUCGCGUUAAUUCGCGUUCCCCAAAUUGAUUGGCGGUCACGUCGAGCUUCCAUAGCGUAGUAGUAAAACCCUCGUUACUGGUAAUCGACGCGGCCACGCCGUUAAACCCCAACUUCUGAAUGUUGACCUCGGAUCAGGUAGGAAUACCCGCUGAACUUAAGCAUAUCAAUAAGCGGAGGA